UGCCAGACUCCUACGGGAGGCAGCAGUGAGGAAUAUUGGUCAAUGGCCGAGAGGCUGAACCAGCCAAGUCGCGUGAGGGAAGACGGCCCUACGGGUUGUAAACCUCUUUUGUCGGGGAGCAAAGAGAGUCACGUGUGACUCAUUGAGAGUACCCGAAGAAAAAGCAUCGGCUAACUCCGUGCCAGCAGCCGCGGUAAUACGGAGGAUGCGAGCGUUAUCCGGAUUUAUUGGGUUUAAAGGGUGCGUAGGCGGAAUGCCAAGUCAGGGGUAAACUCGCGGGGCUCAACCUCGCUCCGCCGUUGAAACUGGCGUUCCUGAGUGAGCGAGAAGUAUGCGGAAUGCGUGGUGUAGCGGUGAAAUGCAUAGAUAUCACGCAGAACUCCGAUUGCGAAGGCAGCAUACCGGCGCUCAACUGACGCUCAUGCACGAAAGCGUGGGUAUCGAACAGGAUUAGAUACCCGAGUACU
rnacentral:rRNA from 1 species